rnacentral:rRNA from 1 species
GUCUUUCCCAACAAGGAAGGACGCUUUUCUGCACUGUAAGGAGGUGCAGGAACAAGGGGUGGGCAAGACGGCUGCCAGCCGCCGCGGUAAUAGCCGCACCCCAAGUGGUAUCCAGUAUUAUUGGGCUUAAAGUGUUCGUAGCCGGCUGUGUAAGUCUGCUGUGAAAUCCACGCGCUCAACGUGUGGACAUGCAGCAGAUACUGCAUAGCUAGGGGCCGGACGGCGUUGAGGCUAUUCCAGGGGUAGGAGUGAAAUCCUAAAAUCCCUGGAGGAGCGCCAGUGGCGAAAGCGCUCAACGAGAACGGACCCGACGGUGAGGAACGAAAGCUAGAGGAGCAAAGCGGAUUAGAUACCCGCGUAGUCCUAGCUGUAAACAUUGCCUGUUAGAUGUCGGACAACCUUCGAGGUUGUCCGGUGCCGAAGUGAAAACGCUAAAC